rnacentral:rRNA from 1 species
UACGGAGGAGGCAAGCGUUAUCCGGAAUUAUUGGGCGUAAAGCGUCCGUAGGUGGUUUAGUAAGUCUGCUGUUAAAGCGCGGGGCUUAACUCCGUAUCGGCAGUGGAAACUACUAGACUAGAGUGUGGUAGGGGUAGAGGGAAUUCCCAGUGUAGCGGUGAAAUGCGUAGAUAUUGGGAAGAACACCGGUGGCGAAGGCGGCCACCUGGACGGAGACUGACGCUGAGGCGCGAAAGCGUGGGGAGCAAACAGG